rnacentral:rRNA from 1 species
UGCAAGUCGAACGAAGCUUGAGGAAUGAUUCUUCGGAAUGAAAUCUGAUAUGACUGAGUGGCGGACGGGUGAGUAACGCGUGAGCAACCUGCCCUUAGGUGAGGGAUAGUGUCUGGAAACGGACAGUAAUACCUCAUAAUAUAUUUGGAUGGCAUCAUCUGAAUAUCAAAGGUUUACUGCCUAAGGAUGGGCUCGCGUCUGAUUAGAUAGUUGGUGGGGUAACGGCCUACCAAGUCGACGAUCAGUAGCCGGACUGAGAGGUUGAACGGCCACAUUGGGACUGAGACACGGCCCAGACUCCUACGGGAGGCAGCAGUGGGGAAUAUUGCACAAUGGGGGAAACCCUGAAUGCAGCAACGCCGCGUGGAGGAAGACGGUUUUCGGAUUGUAAACUCCUGUUCUUAGGGAAGAAGCAAGUGACGGUACCUAAGGAGCAAGCCACGGCUAACUACGUGCCAGCCGCGGC